rnacentral:rRNA from 1 species
UACGAAAGGUGCAAGCGUUGUUCGGAAUGACUGGGCGUAAAGAGCACGUAGGCGGGUCUUUAAGUCGGAUGUGAAAGCCCCGGGCUCAACCUGGGAACUGCACUCGAAACUGAAGACCUUGAAUGCCUGAGGGGUUGGUGGAAUUCCAGGUGUAGGAGUGAAAUCCGUAGAUAUCUGGAGGAACACCAGAGGCGAAGGCGGCCAACUGGCAGUGCAUUGACGCUGAGGUGCGAAAGCGUGGGGAGCAAACAGG